rnacentral:lncRNA from 1 species
AGAAUUAUAUAAAGGGCCUAAGUCUAUAAGGUAUAAGUAGGCAUUUAAAAUUAAGAAAGACUCUAACGGUAAUAUUAAAUACUUCAAUGCUAAAUUGGUAACAUUAGGGUACAUAGAAAGAGCCAUAAAUUACAAUAAAACUUUUUCUUUAGUCUCUUGUAAGGAUUUUUUAAGAAUAAAUAUAGCACUAAUAAUCCAUUUUGACCU